rnacentral:rRNA from 1 species
AUUGAACGCUGGCGGCAGGCCUAACACAUGCAAGUCGAACGAGUGGCGGACGGGUGAGUAAUGUCUGGGAAACUGCCUGAUGGAGGGGGAAAACUACUGGAAACGUUAGCUACUACCGCAAACGAUGAUAUGUGCCCAGGGGGGAUGAGCUAGCUGGUGGGGUAACGGCGCACAAUGGCGACGAUCCCUAGCUGGUCUGAGAGGAUGACCGGCCACACUGGAACUGAGACACGGGCCAGACUCCUACGGGAGGCAGCAGUGGGGAAUAUUGCACAAUGGACGCAAGCCUGAUGCAGCCAUGCCGCGUGUAUGAAGAAGGCCUUCGGGUUGUAAAGUACUGUCAGUGGGGAGGCGUUACCCGCAGAAGAAGCACCGGCUAACUCCGUGCCAGCAGCCGCGGUAAUAC